AGGGCGCACGGUGGAUGCCUUGGCACUAGAAGCCGAUGAAGGACGUUACUAACGACGAUAUGCUUUGGGGAGCUGUAAGUAAGCUUUGAUCCAGAGAUUUCCGAAUGGGGAAACCCAGCAUGAGUUAUGUCAUGUUAUCGAUAUGUGAAUACAUAGCAUAUCAGAAGGCACACCCGGAGAACUGAAACAUCUUAGUACCCGGAGGAAGAGAAAGAAAAUUCGAUUCCCUUAGUAGCGGCGAGCGAAACGGGAAGAGCCCAAACCAAAAAGCUUGCUUGUUGGGGUUGUAGGACACUCUAUACGGAGUUACAAAGGACGACAUUAGACGAAUCAUCUGGAAAGAUGAAUCAAAGAAGGUAAUAAUCCUGUAGUCGAAAAUGUUGUCUCUCUUGAGUGGAUCCUGAGUACGACGGAGCACGUGAAAUUCCGUCGGAAUCUGGGAGGACCAUCUCCUAAGGCUAAAUACUCUCUAGUGACCGAUAGUGAACCAGUACCGUGAGGGAAAGGUGAAAAGCACCCCGGAAGGAGAGUGAAAUAGAACCUGAAACCGUGUGCUUACAAGUAGUCAGAGCCCGUUAAUGGGUGAUGGCGUGCCUUUUGUAGAAUGAACCGGCGAGUUACGAUUUGAUGCAAGGUUAAGCAGUAAAUGUGGAGCCGUAGCGAAAGCGAGUCUGAAUAGGGCGUUUAGUAUUUGGUCGUAGACCCGAAACCAGGUGAUCUACCCUUGGUCAGGUUGAAGUUCAGGUAACACUGAAUGGAGGACCGAACCGACUUACGUUGAAAAGUGAGCGGAUGAACUGAGGGUAGCGGAGAAAUUCCAAUCGAACCUGGAGAUAGCUGGUUCUCUCCGAAAUAGCUUUAGGGCUAGCCUCAAGUGAUGAUUAUUGGAGGUAGAGCACUGUUUGGACGAGGGGCCCCUCUCGGGUUACCGAAUUCAGACAAACUCCGAAUGCCAAUUAAUUUAACUUGGGAGUCAGAACAUGGGUGAUAAGGUCCGUGUUCGAAAGGGAAACAGCCCAGACCACCAGCUAAGGUCCCAAAAUAUAUGUUAAGUGGAAAAGGAUGUGGCGUUGCCCAGACAACUAGGAUGUUGGCUUAGAAGCAGCCAUCAUUUAAAGAGUGCGUAAUAGCUCACUAGUCGAGUGACACUGCGCCGAAAAUGUACCGGGGCUAAACAUAUUACCGAAGCUGUGGAUUGUCCUUUGGACAAUGGUAGGAGAGCGUUCUAAGGGCGUUGAAGCAUGAUCGUAAGGACAUGUGGAGCGCUUAGAAGUGAGAAUGCCGGUGUGAGUAGCGAAAGACGGGUGAGAAUCCCGUCCACCGAUUGACUAAGGUUUCCAGAGGAAGGCUCGUCCGCUCUGGGUUAGUCGGGUCCUAAGCUGAGGCCGACAGGCGUAGGCGAUGGAUAACAGGUUGAUAUUCCUGUACCACCUAUAAUCGUUUUAAUCGAUGGGGGGACGCAGUAGGAUAGGCGAAGCGUGCGAUUGGAUUGCACGUCUAAGCAGUAAGGCUGAGUAUUAGGCAAAUCCGGUACUCGUUAAGGCUGAGCUGUGAUGGGGAGAAGACAUUGAGUCUUCGAGUCGUUGAUUUCACACUGCCGAGAAAAGCCUCUAGAUAGAAAAUAGGUGCCCGUACCGCAAACCGACACAGGUAGUCAAGAUGAGAAUUCUAAGGUGAGCGAGCGAACUCUCGUUAAGGAACUCGGCAAAAUGACCCCGUAACUUCGGGAGAAGGGGUGCUCUUUAGGGUUAACGCCCAGAAGAGCCGCAGUGAAUAGGCCCAAGCGACUGUUUAUCAAAAACACAGGUCUCUGCUAAACCGUAAGGUGAUGUAUAGGGGCUGACGCCUGCCCGGUGCUGGAAGGUUAAGAGGAGUGGUUAGCUUCUGCGAAGCUACGAAUCGAAGCCCCAGUAAACGGCGGCCGUAACUAUAACGGUCCUAAGGUAGCGAAAUUCCUUGUCGGGUAAGUUCCGACCCGCACGAAAGGCGUAACGAUUUGGGCACUGUCUCAACGAGAGACUCGGUGAAAUCAUAGUACCUGUGAAGAUGCAGGUUACCCGCGACAGGACGGAAAGACCCCGUGGAGCUUUACUGUAGCCUGAUAUUGAAAUUCGGCACAGCUUGUACAGGAUAGGUAGGAGCCUUUGAAACGUGAGCGCUAGCUUACGUGGAGGCGCUGGUGGGAUACUACCCUAGCUGUGUUGGCUUUCUAACCCGCACCACUUAUCGUGGUGGGAGACAGUGUCAGGCGGGCAGUUUGACUGGGGCGGUCGCCUCCUAAAAGGUAACGGAGGCGCUCAAAGGUUCCCUCAGAAUGGUUGGAAAUCAUUCAUAGAGUGUAAAGGCAUAAGGGAGCUUGACUGCGAGACCUACAAGUCGAGCAGGGUCGAAAGACGGACUUAGUGAUCCGGUGGUUCCGCAUGGAAGGGCCAUCGCUCAACGGAUAAAAGCUACCCCGGGGAUAACAGGCUUAUCUCCCCCAAGAGUUCACAUCGACGGGGAGGUUUGGCACCUCGAUGUCGGCUCAUCGCAUCCUGGGGCUGUAGUCGGUCCCAAGGGUUGGGCUGUUCGCCCAUUAAAGCGGUACGCGAGCUGGGUUCAGAACGUCGUGAGACAGUUCGGUCCCUAUCCGUCGUGGGCGUAGGAAAUUUGAGAGGAGCUGUCCUUAGUACGAGAGGACCGGGAUGGACAUACCUCUGGUGUACCAGUUGUCGUGCCAACGGCAUAGCUGGGUAGCUAUGUGUGGACGGGAUAAGUGCUGAAAGCAUCUAAGCAUGAAGCCCCCCUCAAGAUGAGAUUUCCCAACUUCGGUUAU
rnacentral:rRNA from 1 species